rnacentral:rRNA from 1 species
GAUGAACGCUGGCGGCGUGCCUAAUACAUGCAAGUCGAGCGGACAGACGAGGAUCUUGCUCCUCUGACGUUAGCCGCGGGCGGGUGAGUAACACGUGGAUAACCUACCUAUAAUACUGGUAUAACUUCGGGAAACCGGAUAUUAUACGGGAGAAUAUAUUGAACCGCAUGGGUCAAUGGUAAGAGACGGCUUUUGGGUCUGUUAUAGAGGGAUCCCAGCCGCAUGAGCUAGUUGUUAAGGUAACGGCUUACCAAGGCAACGAGGCGUAGACGAGCUGAGAGAGGGAUCGCCCACCUUGGAAGGUGAACAGGGACCAGAGUCCUAAGGGAGGCAGCAGUCGGGAAUCGUCCGCAAUGGGCGAAAGCUUGACGGAGCAACCGGGCGUGAGAGACGACGGCCUUCGGAUCGUAAAGAUCUGUUAUUAGGGAAGAACCAAUGUGUAAGUAACUAUGGACGUCUUGACGGUAACGAAUAAGAAAGCAACGGCUAACUACGUG